AAGCAUAAGAAUAGAAUAAUAUUUUACUUUGUCUAUUUAUUAAAAAGUUUAAAUUAUGUAAUAUCCAUGCCGUAUCGAGUGACACGAGAGAAUCGACAGCUGACAACAAAAUACAAAAGGCACUUUUUCGUUUUGAACAUUUUGUCUGACCUUGACCUCUCAAAAUUUAACUACAUCUUACUGUUGACAUAUAUCAUAUUCUUACAAAGUUUCAGCCAAAUGUAUCCGUAAAUUUAUCCGUUAUCCUUCCUAUGCUCAGAAAAAUAAAAAACUUAGGGGAGAACAUAACUUCGUUGGCGGAGAUAAAAUGGAAGACAUAUUAUUUUAAUGUAUUGAUAUUUUUAUGCUGCUUUUACACAUAUCACUAGUGUAUGGGGUCAUGAAAAAUAAAGAGUAACACAAAGCAUUGGUUGAGGAGUUAUAAGCUUAAGUUCUUGACGACUCAGCAUAGAAUUGAUGAUCAACAUCGCAGAGUUUAUAACCUUUGUCCUUUCUUCCUCUUAUAGCGACUUGUAGCAAAUAAGAUAAACGUCAUGACAGCUAAAAAUUUAUUCUCCUAAACAUUUUUCAAAUGAUCAGAGUUGCCACGUUAUGUUUUCGUUUAUUAUUUUAACAUAACGACAGUGUUUAUAAUUUAAAACUCUACGUAUGCUCAUGAAAGAAGCAGAGGAACACGGAUGUUUUAUUGAAAAGUUAUAAGUCGAAACCCUUGUUGAACACAGAGUAGAAUUAAGGAUUGUCAUUCAUAUCUAUUUCUUUGCAAGGUGCGGAGUAGUAUUCGUGUUUACUUCCUUAAUCCCAUAGAUGCUUGCAUCUAA
rnacentral:lncRNA from 1 species